rnacentral:rRNA from 1 species
GAGGCAGCAGUGGGGAAUCUUGCGCAAUGGGCGAAAGCCUGACGCAGCAACGCCGCGUGCGGGAUGAAGGCCUUCGGGCUGUAAACCGCUUUCAGCAGGAACGAAAAUGACGGUACCUGCAGAAGAAGGAGCGGCCAACUACGUGCCAGCAGCCGCGGUGACACGUAGGCUCCAAGCGUUGUCCGGAUUUAUUGGGCGUAAAGAGCUCGUAGGCGGUUGAGUAAGUCGGGUGUGAAAACUCUGGGCUUAACCCGGAGACGCCAUCCGAUACUGCUCUGACUAGAGUUCAGGAGGGGAGUGGGGAAUUCCUAGUGUAGCGGUGAAAUGCGCAGAUAUUAGGAGGAACACCGGUGGCGAAGGCGCCACUCUGGACUGAAACUGACGCUGAGGAGCGAAAGCAUGGGUAGCAAACAGGAU